GGACUUCAGAAAAUAUGUUGAUUAAAUUUGUAGUAGAAGGUAUGCCUCUAAACUGAGGCUUUAAUCAACAUAAAUCUACAGCUUGUGAAACUAAACCGAAAACUAAGCAAGAUGGCUGCCCCCUGAGAUUCUAUGGGGUAAAACCGCUGUACAACAAUAAACAUAACACAGGCAGCCCAACACGUAAUGUUCAAGGUUCUUAACAUACAUAAAUACUACAGGCCGCCUAUCGAAAGGGAAUCGGGUAAUAUUCCCGAACCGGGACGCGGAUAUUGCCGUUCGCGGCAGAUGCGGUAACGCAAACGAACCCGAAGACGCUGGCGGGGACCCUGGGAAGAGUUCUCUUUUCUUUUUAACGAGCUUUCACCCUGAAAUCAGCUUGCCUGGAGAUAGGGUUUAAUGCUCGGUAAAGCACCACACUUCUUGUGGUGUCCGGUGCGCUCUCGACGGCCCUUGAAAAUUCGGGGAAGACAUUGAUUUUCGUGUCCGGUCGUACUCAUAACCGCAGCAGGUCUCCAAGGUGAGCAGCCUCUGGUUGAUAGAACAAUGUAGGUAAGGGAAGUCGGCAAAAUAGAUCCGUAACUUC
rnacentral:ncRNA from 1 species